rnacentral:lncRNA from 10 species
UGCAGUAUUUUUCGAAAAAGUGGCUCGGCCGGGCGCGGUGACUCAUGCCUGUAAUCCCAGCACUUUGGGAGGUCGAGGUGGGCGGAUCACGAGGUCAGGAGAUCGAGACCAUCUUGGCCAACAAGGUGAAACUCCAUCUCUACUAAAAAUACAAAAAAUUAGCUGGGCAUGGUGGUGGGCGCCUGUAGUCCCAGCUGCUCGAGAGGCUGAGGCAGGAGAACAGCAUGAACCCGGGAGGCAGAGCUGUAGUGAGCCGAGAUCACGCCACUGCACUCCAGCCUGGGCUACAGAGUGAGGCACUUUGAUGACAAGAAUAAGUUCA